GAUGAAGAACUUAGCGAAAUGCGAUAAGUAGUGUGAAUUGCAGAAUUCAGUGAAUCAUCGAAUCUUUGAACGCACAUUGCGCCUUCUAGUAUUCUGGGAGGCAUGCCUGUUUGAGCGUCAUUAAACCUCUCUCAAGUAUGAUUACUUGGAUGUGAAGGAAGAGUACCUUAAACUUAAGGAGUGUUCUCCUUUGAAAUUGAUUAGCAGAUGGUAAUGUUAUUAAAUCCCUGAUGUUGUAAGAAAUAACAGUGGUUUUGUAGACUAUUAUCUAGCUUUAAAUUAUAAUUUUUAUUAUGGUUGACCUCAAAUCAGGUAAGGAUACCCGCUGAACUUAAGCAUAUCAAUAAGCGGAGGA
rnacentral:misc_RNA from 1 species